AAUAUUGGACAAUGGGGGCAACCCUGAUGCAGCCAUGACGCGUGGGUGAAGAAGGUCUUUGGAUUUUCCAGCACUCUAAGCUGGGGGGAAGGGCUUGAGGUUAAUACCUUUAAGUUUUGACGUUACCAACAGAAUAAGCACAGGCUAAAUCUGUGCCAGCAACCGCGGUAAUACAGAGGGUGCAAGCGUUAAUCGGAAUUACUGGGCGUAAAGCGCGCGUAGGUGGUUCAGUAAGAUGGGUGUGAAAUCCCCGGGCUUAACCUGGGAACUGCUUUCAUAACUGCUGAGCUAGAGUACGGUAGAGGGUAGUGGAAUUUCCUGUGUAGCGGUGAAAUGCGUAGAUAUGGGAAGGAACACCAGUGGCGAAGGCGACUACCUGGACUGAUACUGACACUGAGGUGCGAAAGCGUGGGGAGCAAAC
rnacentral:rRNA from 1 species